GGCAAGGUGGCCGAGCGGUCUAAGGCGCCAGGUUCAGGCUCACCUGAAUUUUCUCUCUCGCAGUUUCUGUGGAAGUGUAUCUCCUGGUCUCAGAAAUGGGGCGCGAGUUCGAAUCUCGCCCUUGUCA